UACGUAGGGUGCAAGCGUUGUCCGGAAUUAUUGGGCGUAAAGAGCUCGUAGGCGGUUUGUCGCGUCGAAUGUGAAAACCCGGGGCUCAACCCCGGGCCUGCAUUCGAUACGGGCAGACUAGAGUUCGGUAGGGGAGUCUGGAAUUCCUGGUGUAGCGGUGAAAUGCGUAGAUAUCUGGAGGAAUACCGGUGGCGAAGGCGGCUCACUGGCCCGGUACUGACGCUGAGGUGCGAAAGCGUGGGGAGCAAACAGG
rnacentral:rRNA from 1 species